AAACCUAAACUAAUUCAAUCCUCAUCUACAAGAGAGAAAGGGGAGCAUGAAGAUGCGAUUUAGCAUGGCAUGUUCAUCAUGUAAAUUCAAAAUUUGUGUGAAGAACAUUGGCAUGGAGAUGGUGGUUGGCGCAAGGAGAUGGUCCAAUCCAAUUGGACUCUUAGUUCUUUGAUAUUUGGUCCUAAUCCAAAUCUUAUUUGGUUAGACCCAAAUGAUAA
rnacentral:lncRNA from 1 species